rnacentral:rRNA from 1 species
UACAGAGGGUGCGAGCGUUGUUCGGAUUUACUGGGCGUAAAGGGCGCGUAGGCGGUCAGCACAAGUCAGUUGUGAAAUCUCCGGGCUUAACCCGGAAAGGUCAACUGAUACUGUGCGACUAGAGUGCGGAAGGGGCAACUGGAAUUCUCGGUGUAGCGGUGAAAUGCGUAGAUAUCGAGAGGAACACCUGCGGCGAAGGCGGGUUGCUGGGCUGAUACUGACGCUGAGGCGCGAAAGCCAGGGGAGCGAACGGG